GCGCGGAGGGAAGGGCGUGAAGCAGCACCAGCAAAUGUGAGUCCCUUGUUACAAGAUUUGGCAGCAGCAGCAUAUCUCAGUUCCCAGAUUUGCUUAACUGAAUUUAUCCAGGCAAUCCAGUGAAGAGAUCUGGCAGAUUCCUGCCAAUCUAUAUUUCUUCAGACUAUGAGGUCUCCAGCUGCUUCUAGCCUGUCAGAGCUCUCCGGCUGAUUGAUUCCCCACAGGACAGUCCAUCAAUGGAGGAUACAAAGUGGAAGAAAACUGCCUUAAAAUAAAAGGAGUGCAAAGUGGAAGACUUGUCUGUCCCAAAUGAAUGUUAGGGCCUGUUUCUC